CGAAGGAUCCAAGCGUUAUCCGGAUUUAUUGGGUUUAAAGGGUGCGUAGGCGGGCUAUUAAGUCAGCGGUGAAAGCCCCAAGCUUAACUUGGGAAUUGCCAUUGAUACUGAUGGUCUUGAGUACACUUGAAGUGGGCGGAAUGUGUCAUGUAGCGGUGAAAUGCUUAGAUAUGACACAGAACACCGAUUGCGAAGGCAGCUCACUAAAUUGUAACUGACGCUGAGGCACGAAAGCGUGGGGAUCAAACAGGAUUAGAUACCCUGGUAGUCCACGCCCUAAACGAUGAUUACUCGAUGUGUGCAAUACACCGUACGCGUCUGAGCGAAAGCAUUAAGUAAUCCACCUGGGGAGUACGACCGCAAGGUUG
rnacentral:rRNA from 1 species